GUCCUUCCUGGUCUUUUGUUAACUGAUCACCUGUCUGGGCAGCAAGAAUUGACAGCUUCAACUGGAAAACUCAUUUAGGUGGAGUUCUGAGCAAGUCUGCUAAUGAUGAACUUCCUUCUUCAGUUCUUGACAGAAACCGUCUCCAGUGUUUCCAUUGCCUCAACGCAGCUCGGAGGACUUCUCUGCCCACUGUGGUCUGGCUGCCCCCCCGCUCCCGGCACCCACUCCUCCUGGAAGGGCUGCUCCUGCCAAGGUCGUCAACAACCUCCUUGCUCCAGACCAUGCCCAGCGCGCCUCCUUGGUCCGCACUGUCCUUGGCAUCCUGUCUCCGGGGACCAGCUCCCAGGCUCGGCUCCUGCCUCUGCACCGCCUCCCUCUCCAUCUCUGUUGCAGGCUCUCCUUCCCACCCCCGGCCUUGAACACAGCCCUCCUCUGCUUUUUCCCCAUCACAACGGGGCUAUUUCUCCUGUGUGUCGCAGGCACCGAAUUUCAUUAUGUCACAAGCGGAGCGAUGCCUCUCAUACCCCCACCCAUACCUGCCCAGACCUGAGAGCUGCUGUCCUAUGCUCCCCGCCCAGGAAAGCCACCAUCGUCCACAAGGGGGCUUGUCCCCUCCCCCCCCCCCGUCCCCCACAAAUCGUUGCCCAGAGCUGCCCUUGACCUUUCAGAUCCCCUCACCUCUGCCUCCUUCCAUCCACCCCGGAUGCCACGAUUCCUGCCUGGAUUCCUGGAAGUGCCCCCUCACUAGUCUCCCUUCUCUCCAACCACUUCUCCAAACCACAGACCGAAUGCUCUUUCUAAAAUGAAAAUCUUGGAGUUCCCAUGGUGGCUCAGCAGGUGAAGAACCCAACAUAGUGUCCAUGAGGAUGCGGGUUCGAUUCCUGGCCUCGCUCAGUGGGUUAAGGAGUAGGCAUUGCUGCAAGCUGCAGUGUAGGUGGCAGAUGCUGCUGAGAUGCCAUUGCUGUGGCUGUGGCUAGGCUGGCAGCUGCAGCUCCCACUGACCCCUAGCCUAGGAACUUCCAUAUGCCGCAGGUUCAGCCCUUGAAAGAAAAAAUAAAAUAAUAAAAUAAAA
rnacentral:lncRNA from 9 species